GGUUAUAGCUCAGUGGUAGAAUGCAUGCCUAGUACAUGUGAGGCCCUGGGUUUGAUCCUCAGCACCA
rnacentral:tRNA from 1 species